rnacentral:rRNA from 1 species
UACGUAGGGGGCUAGCGUUGUCCGGAAUCAUUGGGCGUAAAGCGCGUGUAGGCGGUCCGGUAAGUCCGCUGUGAAAGUCGAGGGCUCAACCCUCGAAUGCCGGUGGAUACUGUCGGGCUAGAGUGCGGAAGAGGCGAGUGGAAUUCCUGGUGUAGCGGUGAAAUGCGCAGAUAUCAGGAGGAACACCGUAGUGCAAGGCGGCUCGUGGGCGUACUGACGCUGAGGAGCGAAAGCGUGGGGAGCGAACAGG